rnacentral:lncRNA from 1 species
CCCUGCAGUGCUCACCUCUCCCAGUGCCUUCUUGCCUGAUUUAAUGCCUGAUGCUUUCUCUAACAAGGACAUCAUCACGUCAAAGAUAGGAGCAAGCAGCCAACAGCCUGGGGAAGAACAGCAGUGUGCACUGCUCAUCAGACCAGGAUAAUACCACAUGCACUUCAACAAUGUGGCUUUUCCAGCCAGGAUUGCAGAAAAACUCCUGCUCUCCGGUGAGCAUCAUUUUCCUAUCAACCCUCCUGGUCUGCAGAGCUAUGCUUGCAGAAAGGCUCAGCUUCUGGCUCUGCACAUCUCAAGUGGGAGGUGCAACAACCACCAGAGACAAAAGAACAGCUUUUCCAGAAUCACUUUUGUUGGUGCAGGUGGAGAGAGAGCUAUGCUCACAGGGAAAGAACAGCAGCAGACCUAAGGCUGCUGUUUUUUGGGAGUCCACACGGCUAUUCCAAAAACCAUCACUGCCGAAGUCAAGCCAGUGAACAUGCAAAAAAAAAAAAGCUAAACUGGGAGACAAAGUCUCUGCUCCAAUCCUCUACUCCUUUCCAGCUCUAUUAAACCCUCUUCAUAAGACCAAAAAGAGAGUCAAAAAGACAGAAGCUGUCCGGGACCCUGUUGGGAAGGGCUGGCUCUGGAGGCCUUUCCUCCUUCCAGCUGCAGCAUAUCCUGGGGAGAAACCUUCAGGAGCCACCUCCUGGUAUCCACCUCCCACUGAAGCUGUUUUGGUCAGAGCCUUUCUCUUUCCUCACCUGGUUGUUGCAGGAAAGUUCAAGGUGUCCUGGCAGCAGGAAGCUCCCUUGCUCCACCCUCUGCCCAGCAGAGCUCUCCCUGAGCUCACCGAGGAUUUUCUGCACCAGACCUGCCAGCGACAGCGACCUGCUGUGUGUGGACACCCGGCUGGGAGCGGGACCCCCGGCAUGAAGCACCUCUCCUGUGAGCCCUGGGCAGCCCUCGCCGUGCUCCUCCUCACCGCUGCCCUCUGGGAUUCCUGCUCAGCAGCAACUGAAGACAUCUCCAAUGCUUCAACAACUGAGUAUGAACCACCAUGUCUUAACAUGAACUUCUGCAGGCAAGCGGCCACGUGCUGCCCUUCGGGCAUGGAUGACUACGGGUGGAUCGCAGCGGCUGUUGGCUGGAGCCUCUGGUUUCUGACCCUCAUCCUGCUCUGCAUGGACAAGAUCAUCAAACUCCGGCCUGAUGAACCCAAAUACUUGGUGGCCUGA